GCCAGGUGUGGUGGUGCAUACCUGCAAUCCUUGUGACUCCAGAGGCUGGGGCAGGAGAAUCACAAGUUGGGAGGCCAGCCUCAGCAAUCACUAAUUUAGUGAUACCCUGUCUCAA
rnacentral:sRNA from 1 species